rnacentral:lncRNA from 1 species
UAAGAAUCUGAUACCAUGUUAGGAAUGGGCAACUAACAUUCACAGAAGGUCAAGGGCCAGUACAUAUACAUGUGGAGAAGAUAAGAAACCCCUUAUACAAUGGGGAUACACAUCUACCAUAUACAACUUGUAUAGAGACACUAGUUAGUCAUAACUAUCUGGAUUCUAAUUUUGUAACAUUGUCAAACAAAUGGUGGAGAAGGAACAUACGUGUAAACAAAGCCACUUGAAUCAACUGCAACUGCAACAUCCAAGUAUAGCAAAGGUUUUAAUAUCAGUGCUGAUCCCGAAGACUCAAAUUAACAAGAAAAAGAAAGAAAGGAAAAUAACCUGUGUGAUUCGUUCCACAUGCAACUUUGACAACGGUCUUCCCAGAUAAUGCAACUAUUGCCCUGGGGUUGGGCUGGGGAUCAUAUGCUAGCCUUACCGAUGAUACAUUGGCAAUAUACUGUAACAUCAUAAAUUAAAUCACAAUUACUGAUGAUAGCAUAUUUAGUAGGUGUGACUGUUAACAGAGUAGCAGUCAACCUCAUUAUCGCUUCCAUGACCAAGUUGACCGUACUGGGGAAGACCUGUUGUGCUGAAUAGCACAGAAGAACAAAGUACAUAUUAAAAACAUUGACGAACAAGAACAAAACCACUAAAUACAGCCAAAGCAGAUACUAAUCAAACAAUGUUAUUAUGAGAAGAUGAUCAAUCAAAGCCUGUUACUUAUUCUGAAAGAGGAAAGAGGUAACUAAUAUUUAAGUUUCAUAGUUUCAGCAAGGCCAUACAGUAUGGAAGAGCCCUCAACUGAUGACAGCCAGACAUUAAAGUUAGCACCACAAAUAGCAUUAGUUGCUUUAGUAACAAGGGAGGGGACUGGCUGACACCUUAGUUCCUGCAACGUAAGGACCUAACAGAAAAAUGAGCUUCCCAUAUGGUGAAAUUCCCAUGACGUUGUCAGAACUAUCCCAUCGUCCUAAACAAUAUAAGUUCUGUAUGGUCAUGGCAUAAAUAUUACUAUUGGUUUCGUUAUCACCCAAACAGGUAACACCAUAACAGAACACAACUGUAGAUUAUAGUACUAAUGUCUCAUCAAGCAACACUCUGGAAAUGUCAAAAAGUGAAGUAUGCUCCUAACAGAAAAUGAUAUUUCCACUGAGCAGUGUAUUUGUUGCACUUCUAGUUGUGUCAUCUAUCAAUCAUAAAAAUAAAGGAAAAGGUGAGGGAGUCAACCACUCCUUAGUGAACCCAUCCCCAACUGGCCAUGUUUGUUGUCACCAAAUGCAAAGGACUCCCCUUCGUCAGUUACGAC